GCACAAAGAGUCUCUCCUACAACGUUCAGAGCCCUCUAAUAGAGAGUCUCUUACUUCUUUGGCGAAGGAGGAGGAAAUUGUAGAAGAGAUUCUCUGUGCGUCGCUUAGAAGAAACCUAUUAGGGUUUUUAUUGAUUACAAUUUCCUCCUCCUUCGUCGGAGAUGCAAGACAUUCUACUAGAGGGAUCUGAACGUUGUACUUUAUUAUAUUUCUAACUCUUUCCUAAACUUAAAGUUACCAAUUAAAAUAAAUCCUAUUAUGCUCGGAAUUUUUGAAGAUCAAAACAACUUUACUUUUUCUAUUUUAUUUUAUUUCUAACUGAUUCCUAAAUAUAUAUCUAUAAAUCUAAAUCUUUUCAUUAUAAUAUUAUUGUAAUGACCCGAAUCCGAAGGUCCGAAUCGCUAACCGGGUUCUUUCCCGAACCCGAGGUCGUCUAAGGGCACUAUGGUCAAUUCUAAGGUCGAUACAUAAUAUACGUGCCAUCCAAGGCUUAUACAAAAAAAUGAGAUCACAAGUACAAAAGAUGUCAAAACAGUUCACUAACCCAUUUAAACUUGUGGAGGAGCGUCAUCUGCCACUUCCUUCUCGUGACCUAAAAAAUAUAAUAAUAUGAUGGGGUGAGCCAACCGCUCAGUAAGAGGUGUUUAAGACACACCUCUUAAUGACUCCGUGAAUCCAUACAAGGGAUAAAAUACAAGUAAACGGGAUCAUGCCAUAGGGGAUAUCACAGCAACAACAAGAAGUAUGUAUAUAGGUCAUCCAACCACAAAUUACACAAUGUAUGCUAAUGAAGUGCAAUGUCAUGCCAAUGUCGUUCCCUGUUUUCCGAAACAAUUGCGUUUCACUGUUCCAAACCGUUAAUGCAACCCGACCCAUAGCACCUCUAUGGCGCCACGAGGGAAGGAUUGGUUAGCUAUCCCCGACCACAUGGCACCUCCAUGGUGUCGUUCUAGGCCUAGGUAGCUCAACAACUCUAGGGUCUCUCCCUAGUUCUCUCUAAAUCACAUUAACGCCACGGACCAUCAGGCACCUUCUAGGCGUCCGGGUUUUCGUAAACAUUUUUCAAAAUAAUUUUUCCAAAAUUUAUUUCAUUUGCUUUAAAACGGCAUUUCCCUUUCAUUCCCAAUGAAAUGCAUGAAUGCUUCAUGCCAUCCUCAACCAUAACAAUAAAUUCAAUUUUUCCAUAAAUUGCAAUCAACCAUAAUAAUAUAUAUAGCAUACUUUCAAGAAAGUUCACAAAAAAUCAACUCAUGUAUUGACAAAAUAGAAUCUCAACAUUUAUGCACAUUCAACGCAAACACAACUUUCAGCUUAACAUGCUUCAUCUUAUUAAUCCAAUUAAUAUAUAUUUUCAACCAACUAAUUACAUAAAACACGUUGAUACACAAAGCCCUCCAUACCAUAAGCAAAAUAAUUAAUUUAAGCAUGCUUAGAAAUAAUUUAAAGGAAGAAAAUUCACUAAAAUCAAAGAUGAUGUGGAUUAGAACACCCCUACCUCAAUAAAAAAGAAAUGCCCCAAAACAUAGCCAAAACCCGAAAUUCAAAUGGUGGCUAAACGGAACUCUGCUCCGAUCAAAAUGUAGAUCUCGACGCGCAAGUCAAAAUCUUUAUGGUAACAAAAAGAGAAAGAAAUAUAGAACCAAGAGGGGGGGAGAAAAUCGUUGCAGAGAGAGAGAGAAACUAAUGGUCUAUAAUUGAUCCCAAGGCCAUUUGUAAUGGUUCAUUACCAUGGUGGGUACCGUGGCAUAAAAAAUAUAUUUUCUUUAAUUUAAUAAUUAUAUAUAUACUCUCAACAUAAUACCACCACACAAUUAAACACAUAACCAUGUAUAAAUAAUGCAUGAAAUGCAAUGGCAACCAAUUCAUUUCCAAGAGUCCUGAACUCAAGGAAGUGCCUCAACUAACUCUCAAACACACCCGGCGCACACCACGGUGUCCAGCACGCAAAAUGAGACCAGACGAAAAUAACCCCAAAAAAUGGAAAAAAUACCAUAAAAUAAAAAAUGAAAAAAAAUCAGGAUCAUUACAAUUUUAAUUUUAUAAUAAAAUUAUUAUUAUAUUUUGUUAUAAUGUUAUGGUGAGAUACAUUAGUUACAUUUAGAUAUAAAUAAAAAAUAAAAAAUUUAAGUUACGGCAAGUCUUGGUUGGCUUGGGCCUCAAAUUUCAUAGGGGAUGAAAAAAAUAAAAAUAAAAAAUUUAAGUCAGGGCAACUCCAAUUCGGCUUAGGCCUCAAAAUUUGAGGCCCAUAGGGGAUGGGGAAAAAAAAAUAAAAAAUAUAAGUUAGGGCAAGUUUUUCAGACGACACAAUCUGCUUCGACACUCCGCAGGACGCAGUCUCUGUAUCGCUUCAGGCUCAGGUGACACCGUGACAAGGUAUGUUCCUCCUCUCUCUCUCUUCUCUCUCCUUUUGCAUGAAUCGAUCUUUUAUGCAUGUUUCUUUCUUUUGUUCAUCUCGUCAUUUGAUUUAUUCCAACUUUAUAUCUCCUUGUAUCCGUAUGUGUUUGAAAAUGUGUGAUUAGAGACUCAGAACUGAACCAAUUUCGGUCACCGGAGAGGAAUUCUUUCAACCUGAAAGGAGAUGAUGAUAAUAACUCUAAAUUAGGCUCCACGACCAGUCUGAAUCGCAAGAAAGUCUAAAUCACAGCAAUUUCUUGUGCAAAAACUAGGGUUUGUGUUGUGUUUGUUCGCUGAUCGUCAUCAGUUUGUAAGUAAUCUUGACCAUAUUAUAUCUCGGUAGGUUUACAUUUCUUAUUUGGGGUUUAGGGUUUAUCAUUUGGCUGGUUUGUGUCGUGAUUUGUAUGGUAGAUAUUUUCGGUUCAUAAUUGGGGGUUUUCUUUAAAUUGUUCUUGUUUCAUUAAAUUGGUUGCAGAUUGGGGGUUUCAUCUAAUGUUAAUUAUUUUGUUAUUGUUUCACUUCUGUAACCUUAGUGAUUACUGUUAACGUAUAAUUUAUUUUUGUUUAUGUUAUAUUUUGAUGAGAUUAAUUAUGCAAAAGUGAUUGAACUGAGAAUGUAUAUUGUAUGAAGGAACAGUGCAAACUGAGUGGUGAUUUUGGGUUCCACCCUGAUAUACAUACACUGUUUAGUUACUUAUGGGGUUGCAAUUAUGUUAUUCUGUGUUAUUGUGACUGACUUCUGUGAUUUGUGAUCAAUUACCGUAAUUUAUUUUUAUUUUUUAAUAGUAUGAUUGUUUUGAUGUCGGUACUAUGGAUCUCGAUAAAGAACCAAAACCUGAUCUUGAAGAUUACCAAAUAGACCGUUCAUAUAUAAAGAUGAGAGAACAGGCUAAGACUUGGUCGGUAAAGCUAAGGAUAAAGAAUCAAAUACUAGAAGGUUACAGAUCUGGUUUGAGGAGCUAUUAUUUUGAAUUGAAUGCAAAGAAGCCUGUGCGGAAAAACUGUGGAAGGGAGUAAUAGUAAAACAUGGACGAAGGAAAGAAGAUGCUCGAUUUUGGUGUUUGCGCAGAAAAUGGAGAUAUCAGAGAGUAGCCAUUGAUUCAAUACUGAUGUUGAAGGAAUUCAGAACUCCAUAUCUGUUGAGACCGACUGAUGUUGCUGUGGACUGCAACCAAGAAGUGAUUGUGAUUAGUCAUGAAGGAUUUGAUUCCUAUUUUGUUGAGUGGUUGAGGCUUGGAAACGCAUCCUGAGAGUCAGCCUUUUUUUGUAAACACAUCCGACGACUUUGAAUUCAAGGAGUUCUGGAUUGAAUCAAUGAGAAACAUUCUAGAUACAGUAGGAUAUCUACACAAAAUGGGUAGAGCCCAUGGAAAUGUUCGACAUGACCGCUCAUAUGUUAUGUGGGGAGGAAAGAUGCAAAACGGAAGACCUGGAAAAUUUCAAAAAGUUCAUAUUCCGUCACAUUGGCCUAAACAAUCAUCUGUCUAGGCCUCACGAUCGGAAUCCAUUAUACAAUUACAAGACCUCUAAAGCAUCCCGUCUAUUGAAACACCCUUUGUUAUUGAAUGAGAAAGAGAGAUUUCGAUACUUUGUGGCUCUCUGCCAUCAUUUGGGAUAUCAUCACAAGGAUUAUACGUUUAACACUGACUAGAAAAUCAAUCAAGAGUUGAUCAAUCCAUGGGGAAAGGCAAAUUGGAUGGAUAAGGUUCGCAUGGAGCAUAAAAAGCGACUAGUGUGUGUUCCUUAUAAGGUUCUACGCUAUCAAGAAAAUGUGGCUGGAAGUGUAAACCAAUACAAAUCUUGUAUGUCUGAUUAAAGAUUUGUAUUUGUUUUUAUUGCCACCCCCCCUUCCCCCCUAAAGGGUAAGGAAUGUGUGUGUGCUUUAACCAACCAAUCAGAAGGAGGCAUGUGGGAGCAGUUGAGAUAUGAUCAGUUGUUCCAGAGAUACCUUGUGACUUAUAUUCGGUUGUGAUAGCAUAUACAGAUAUGCUAUAUGGCUUAUUUCAGUUAUUGCUGUGGCAUGUUAUUAUUGGUCAGUUUCUGAUAAGUUGGGAGAUGUCCAAUUGAAUAUAUGUAUCUAUAUGUUCGACACCAUAGUUGUUAAAGGCUCAAGGCGCACAAAAGCGCAAAUGUCUCCCGGAGCCUGAGGCGUAAGGCGAGGCGCGUGCCCGACUGAAGCAAAGCGCAUGUUGGGAAAAAAAAAAAAAAAAAAACAAAAACAAAACAAAA